GCUCUAGGCAGCCACAAAGAGGAGGAAUUCUUGAGUUUUCACAAGCUCAAUAAGUUGAGCAAAGAGGUUAGUGCAACUAUAAACAUAAAACUUUUAAAUUUCAUGAUUUUGGACUUGAAAUUUAGUGAGACUUGUAAUUUAAAUGAAUAAAAACCUAUGUGUAUGAGCUCUUGAAUGUUGGCUGCCCUAGAAAAGGAAUAUGUAGGAGUGUUUUGAUGAGCUUGAAGUGAGCUAGAAUCAUGUUAGAAGUUUAUAAACACAAGCAUAAUGAAUUAAAAGCUAACUAAAGUAAAUUGUAUAAAACAUGGAAUUGAAUUAGGGUUUAGGAAAGGUGAAAAUUGAUUUGGCUUAGGGAAUUGUUAGGGCACAUUGUAAUGGUCAAUUAGUGAC
rnacentral:misc_RNA from 1 species